rnacentral:rRNA from 1 species
ACGACUACACUCCUACGGGAGGCAGCAGUGGGGAAUAUUGCACAAUGGGCGAAAGCCUGAUGCAGCGACGCCGCGUGGGGGAUGACGGCCUUCGGGUUGUAAACCCCUUUCAGUAGGGAAGAAGCGCGAGUGACGGUACCUGCAGAAGAAGCGCCGGCUAACUACGUGCCAGCAGCCGCGGUAAUACGUAGGGCGCAAGCGUUGUCCGGAAUUAUUGGGCGUAAAGAGCUUGUAGGUGGCUUGUCGCGUCUGCCGUGAAAACCCGAGGCUCAACCUCGGGCGUGCGGUGGGUACGGGCAGGCUAGAGUGUGGUAGGGGAGACUGGAACUCCUGGUGUAGCGGUGAAAUGCGCAGAUAUCAGGAAGAACACCGAUGGCGAAGGCAGGUCUCUGGGCCAUUACUGACACUGAGAAGCGAAAGCAUGGGUAGCGAACAGGAUUAGAUACCCCGGUAGUCCACCAAUCC